UUUCAUUUAUAGAUUGGAUAUGGAUUAUUUUCGUCGACAGUGCCAGCCCAGGAAGGAGAGGUAGGAGGUGGCCAUUGGCGGUAAGGCUUCAGCCUCCAUGCUAAGAUAGUCAGGGUCUUUCCUGAACUGGCCUCCACUUUCCAGCUGUGGUUCCUCCAGGCCCCGUUUGCAAGCCCUGGCUGUAGCUCUUGCUCCCCGCUGCGCCCUGUGGGUCCCUGUCACUUCUGCCUGCGUGGCUUAGCGCACCCAACACAUCCUCCCUUAGAUAUUUGCUGAGAGGCUGCCCUGUGUCAGGCGCUGGGAACCCAGAGACUGUCAAAACCUGGUUCCACCCUGGGAGAGCUCCUGGCCAAGGGAGGAGGCAGCACAGGGAGAAAUAAUUACAAGAUAAUGUAGAAAUACUGUGCUACACAGUGCUCUGGGUGUGGAGGAGGCGGGGCUUGCUGAGGUAGCCAAGGGCUCAGGGAAGGUGACUCCUGACCUGGGUCUUAAGGACAGGGAGGCAGUAGGCCUGGGGAUGAGGAGUAAGACAAAAAGGAGAGGUUCAGAGCCUAGCUUUGUGGGAUGACAGGGUCCUUGAGAUCCAGACGGAGGCUUGAAUCAUCUGAGUAAACACACCUACACAGGAUAACCCAAGGGCACAUACAUACUCCCCAAAAGGCUUCUCACCCCACACUCCCCAUUGACCUCCACAUCUCCCCUACACGCAGGCUUACACGCACGUUUGCAGGCCUUGGUGUGUCCUUGGUCCCUCUGGCUUUCCUGGGAAGAACACCCUCCCCCACCUCCUGUUCCGCCCGCUGCCCUCACUGGCUGCAAAGCUCCCUCUUCAACUCUGGACUUUGUACCUGUCACCAGAAACUCACUUAUAAGGGCUGCCAGUGUGAGCAGCGGCCUGGGGGUGUCUGCCGCUUCUAGGGCCCGCUGGACCCCUGUCUGGGUUCCAGCUGCGCCCCUCUCUCCAGCACCAGGGGUGGCGGUGAGACUUGCGCCAUAAGGUUCUUGGCAGAAGCUUGGGAAGAUGUAGAAUUAGUCGUCGCUGUUGGAGGUGCUGCCUGCUGCCCGGGCCCUCCGCCCUCACCUGCCGCCCCAGCCCUGCCUGCUGCGUCCCCAGGUGUUUUCCCAGCCUGGAUACUCCACCCAGAUUGAGGUGUUCCACCUGCAGAUAAUCUCCAGCCUCAGCCAGCAGGUUUCUGGGCCCUGGGGCUGCCUGGCAUCUGGGGGUCUCCUUGGAGCUGGGCUCUUCUGGCAGAGGCUGGAGCUCACCGGUGUCUUCCAGCCCCUCCAUG